UAUGUUUUAAUGGUACUUCUAUGGUUGCAACGCAACUAGUAUUACAGAACAUAAGGAAAACAUAUAGUAUUCAAUGAAAUACUUGGACAAAUGGCAAAAAUAUUAAAUAAAGAAAUGCACUUACAUUCUCGCAGGAUUAAUCUGGAAAUAUGUUUAAGCGUUUGUCUAGACAUCGAUGGGAAAAUUACAGCAAUAAAUUUAUGGAGUCAACAAAUUGAACAGAUACAGUCAAGAAAUUAUCCAUACAAGAAAAUCAUUGAAUUACAUACGUUUGUCUUGUAAUUUAUAGACCCUAAAAAGAAUGUAAUGCCAUCAUACUUUAUAAAUCAUAAUAUAUCAGAACAGUGACUAAUCAAUGGUUUACAGAAGCAGUUGAAGGUUCUACAAAAUAUCAAUGCAAAGCAAGCAAUAAAAUAAAGACAAUUAGAACAAAACAACUAGAAUAAAGCGUACAAUAGACAAAAUAUUUGUGCUCAAUGAAGAAACAAUUGUGGUAUAUCGAACAGAUUAUUGCGACAAAUGUACUACCCUCAGUCAAAUAAGAUUUUUACUUUGUAAACAGA